UACAAUAAAUAGGGCUUUGUUCCUGAUCACACCACAUUAUCAACAAUAAACAGGGCCAUGUUCCUAACCACACCACAUUAUCUACAAUAAACAGGGCUAUGUUCCUGACCACACCACAUUAUCUACAAUAAACAGGGCUAUGUUCUUGACCACACCACAUUAUCUACAAUAAACAUGCAGAGCCAUGUUCCUGACCACACUACAUUAUCAACAAUAUACAGAGCCAUGUUCCUGACCACACCACAUUAUCUACAAUAAACAGGGUCAUGUUCCUGACCACACCACAUUAUCUACAAUAAACAGAGCCAUGUUCCUGACCACACCACAUUAUCUACAAUAAACAGGGCUAUGUUCCUGACCACACCACAUUAUCAACAAUAAACAGAGCCGUGUUCCUAACCACACCACAUUAUCAACAAUAAACAGAGCCAUGUUCCUGACCACACCACAUUAUCAACAAUAAACAGAGCCAUGUUCCUGACCACACCACAUUAUCAAUAAACAGAGGCUUUAUACAUGUGUAAUAUAUAGAAAUACUUGAUGGUAAUGUUACAUGGAAAACAUUAAUAUCUAUUUUUUGGGGUAUUAUAUAAAAAAGUCAAAAACGGCACAUUGGAAAACACUUGUAUAGGAUCACAUAUAUUCCAACAUAUAUUUGCUUGUCUAGGUUACUGACGAAAAAAAUAACUCCUAAUAGGAAACAUAAUGUUCAUAGGGAGGUCUGUAUAAAAGUACGAAUAAAUACUCUUAUUCAAAUAAAUACUCCGCUAAUGGCUUA